rnacentral:rRNA from 1 species
AGCUCCAAUAGCGUAUAUUAAAGUUGUUGCAGUUAAAAAGCUCGUAGUUGAACUUCGGGCCUGGCCGGGCGGUCCGCCUAACGGCGCUGUACUGUCUGGCCGGGCCUUACCUCUUGGUGAGCCGGCGUGCCCUUCACUGGGUGCGUCGGGGAACCAGGACUUUUACCUUGAGAAAAUUAGAGUGUUCAAAGCAGGCCUAUGCCCGAAUACAUUAGCAUGGAAUAAUGAAAUAGGACGUGCGGUUCUAUUUUGUUGGUUUCUAGAGUCGCCGUAAUGAUUAAUAGGGACAGUUGGGGGCAUUAGUAUUCAGUUGCUAGAGGUGAAAUUCUUGGAUUUACUGAAGACUAACUAUUGCGAAAGCAUUUGCCAAGGAUGUUUUCA